AUAACGGUCCUAAGGUAGCGAAAUUCCUUGUCAGGUAAGUUCUGACCCGCAUGAAUGGCGUAACGAUUUGGGCGCUGUCUCAACAAUGGACCCGGCGAAAUUGUAGUAUAUGUGAAGAUGCAUAUUACCCGCGACUGGACGGAAAGACCCCGUAGAGCUUUACUGUAGCUUGACAUUGAAUUUCGGUAAAGACUGUACAGGAUAGGUGGGAGACUUUGAACCAUGGGCGUCAGCUUGUGGGGAGUCGACGUUGGGAUACCACCCUAUCUUUGCUGAGGUUCUAACUCAAAGCGUUGAAUCACGAUUGAGGACAAUGUCAGGUGGGCAGUUUGACUGGGGCGGUCGCCUCCUAAAGAGUAACGGAGGCGUCCAAAGGUUCCCUCAGAAUGGUUGGAAACCAUUCGUAGAGCAUAAAGGUAUAAGGGAGCUUGACUGCGAGACAUACAAGUCGAGCAGAUACGAAAGUAGGGCUUAGUGAUCCGGCGGUAGAGAAUGGAAUUGCCGUCGCUUAACGGAUAAAAGUUACCUCGGGGAUAACAGGCUUAUCUCCCCCAAGAGUUCACAUCGACGGGGAGGUUUGGCACCUCGAUGUCGGCUCAUCGCAUCCUGGAGCGGAAGUACGUUCCAAGGGUUGGGCUGUUCGCCCAUUAAAGCGGUACGCGAGCUGGGUUCAGAACGUCGUGAGACAGUUCGGUCCCUAUCUGUCGUGGGCGCAGGAAAUUUGAGAAGAGCUGUCCUCAGUACGAGAGGACCGGGAUGGACGCAUCAAUGGUGGACCAGUUGUCACGCCAGUGGCAUAGCUGGGUAGCUAAAUGCGGAAGGGAUAAACGCUGAAGGCAUCUAAGUGUGAAACCCACUUCAAGAUGAGAUUUCCCAUUGCGCAAGCAAGUAAGACCCCUUAAAGACGAUAAGGUAGAUAGGUCAGGAGUGUAAGCAUGGUGACAUGUUAAGCGGACUGAUACUAAUAGGUCGAGGGCUUGACCGA
rnacentral:rRNA from 1 species